rnacentral:rRNA from 2 species
AAAUUGAAGAGUUUGAUCAUGGCUCAGAUUGAACGCUGGCGGCAGGCCUAACACAUGCAAGUCGAGCGGAAACGGCAGUAUUGAAGCUUCGGUGGAUUUACUGGACGUCGAGCGGCGGACGGGUGAGUAACGGCUGGGAACCUGCCCUGACGAGGGGGAUAACCGUUGGAAACGACGGCUAAUACCGCAUA